rnacentral:rRNA from 1 species
UACAGAGAGUGCAAGCGUUAAUCGGAAUUACUGGGCGUAAAGCGCGCGUAGGUGGAUACUUAAGUCGGAUGUGAAAUCCCCGGGCUUAACCUGGGAAUUGCGUCCGAGACUGGGUGUCUAGAGUAUGAUAGAGGGAAGUGGAAUUUCCGGUGUAGCGGUGAAAUGCGUAGAUAUCGGAAGGAACACCAGUGGCGAAGGCGGCUUCCUGGAUUAAUACUGACACUGAGGCGCGAAAGCGUGGGGAGCAAACAGG